rnacentral:ncRNA from 1 species
CUAAUUCCGACUAAAGACCAAUUGCAGACGAGAAUUAGAGAGAAAAAAGCUGGCAGAGCCCAUAGAGAGAAAGCGUUUAUAAGAGUCGGCGAUAAAAAAGAGCUUAUAGACCCACCAAGAAUUCCAGAGAAAGAAUUCAAGGAGCUAGAGAGAAUCUCACUUUAGACCUCUAAGGAACUCGAAUUAAGAAA